AUGUCAGGGGGGGGGGAAGGACAACUUAUUGGUUCCUUCGAUUUUAUUUGUUAUUUUUAAUAAAAGUUUGAUUCUUUCUUUAAAAUUUAGUUUUUAAACUUUAUUAUAUGUAAGUUUUUCUAAAAGGUUUAUUUUUCAGUGUUUAAUUUUGGAUUUUAUAAAAAGUUAAAACCAGGGCUUUAAUAUUUAACUGACAAAAAUUGUGCCAGCCGUCGCGGUUAUACAAUUAGUUAAAUUGAAUUUUUUUGGUUAAAUAUUAAUAUUUAUUUAUUUAUAAUUUAAAUUUAAAUCUUAAGGUGAAAUUUUGAUUUAAUAAUUUAUUAUUGGUUUUAGAUUGAUAUUUGAAAAUCAUUAAAAAACUAGGAUUAGAUACCCUAUUAUUUUGAUUGUAAAUUUACUUUAAUAUUAAUAGUUAUGUUCUUAAAAUUAAAAGAAUUUGGCGGUUAUUUAAUCUUUCUAGAGGAAUCUGUCCUUUAAUUGAUAAUCCACGAUUGAUUUUACUUUUAUUUUGCUUAUAUAUCGCUGUCAUUGAAUGUUUUAAAAGAAUAUUUUCUUAAAAUUUUAUGAAUUUAAUGUUAGGUCAAGAUGUAGCUAUAUAAAAGUAGAGAUGGAUUACAUUAAAUUUAUUUAUGGAAAAGCAUUUUUUAUUUUGUUUUAAAAUUGGAUUUAGAUGUAAUUUUUAUAAAAUAGUAAUUUUGAUUUUAGUUCUAAUUAAUGUACACAUCGCCCGUCACUCCCAUUAUUGAGUUGGGAUAAGUCGUAACAAAGUAGUUCUACCGGAAGGUGGAUCUGGAUAUUU
rnacentral:rRNA from 1 species